rnacentral:rRNA from 1 species
UACAGAGGGUGCGAGCGUUGUCCGGAAUCACUGGGCGUAAAGGGCGCGUAGGCGGCCUGAUAAGUAGGGGGUGAAAUCCUGUGGCUUAACUGCAGGGCUGCCUCCUAGACUGUUAGGCUCGAGCACGGUAGAGGCAGAUGGAAUUCCCGGUGUAGCGGUGGAAUGCGUAGAGAUCGGGAGGAACACCGGUGGCGAAGGCGGGUCUCUGGGCCGAUACUGACGCUGAGGAGCGAAAGCGUGGGGAGCGAACAGG